rnacentral:tRNA from 1 species
AAAGUGUUAGUAAAAAGAUUACAAUUCACUGUCAGUGAAUAAUUACAAAUGUACACUUUA